AGAGUUUGAUCCUGGCUCAGAUUGAACGCUGGCGGCAUGCCUUACACAUGCAAGUCGAACGGCAGCACGGGGGCAACCCUGGUGGCGAGUGGCGAACGGGUGAGUAAUACAUCGGAACGUGUCCUGUAGUGGGGGAUAGCCCGGCGAAAGCCGGAUUAAUACCGCAUACGAUCUACGGAAGAAAGCGGGGGAUCGCAAGACCUCGCGCUAUAGGGGCGGCCGAUGGCAGAUUAGCUAGUUGGUGGGGUAAAGGCCUACCAAGGCGACGAUCUGUAGCUGGUCUGAGAGGACGACCAGCCACACUGGGACUGAGACACGGCCCAGACUCCUACGGGAGGCAGCAGUGGGGAAUUUUGGACAAUGGGGGAAACCCUGAUCCAGCAAUGCCGCGUGUGUGAAGAAGGCCUUCGGGUUGUAAAGCACUUUUGUCCGGAAAGAAAAC
rnacentral:rRNA from 1 species